GAUGAACGCUAGCGGCAGGCCUAACACAUGCAAGUCGAGGGAAAAGCCCUCGGGCUACGUCCGGCGCACGGGUGCGUAACGCGUAUACAAUCUGCCUCUUAUCCGGGGGAUAGCCCGCAGAAAUUUGGAUUAAUACGCUAUGGUAUAAGAGCACGGCAUCGUGCACUUAUUAACGCCACGGCGGUAAAAGAUGAGUAUGCGUUCUAUUAGCUAGUUGGAGAGGUAACGGCUCACCAAGGCGACGAUAGCUAGGGGUUCUGAGAGGGAUGUCCCCCACACUGGUACUGAGAUACGGACCAGACUCCUACGGGAGGCAGCAGUGAGGAAUAUUGGACAAUGGUCGGAAGACUGAUCCAGCCAUGCCGCGUGCAGGAAGACGGCCUUAUGGGUUGUAAACUGCUUUUGUAAGGGAAGAAUAAGGAGUACGUGUACUUUGAUGACGGUACCUUACGAAUAAGCAUCGGCUAACUCCGUG
rnacentral:rRNA from 1 species